rnacentral:misc_RNA from 1 species
ACAACAACAACAGCAGCAGCAGCUGAGCCUUAAUCCCAAAGUAGUUGGGGAUUUAGAGUAUUAGAAAAGGGGGGAAAAAUUUUUCAACACUAACAUGAACAAAAUACUCAAUACAACGUGCAUCAAGCCUUUGAAAGUACUUCCAACUAUCGAUCAAUGGAACAAGUUCACGCACGAAAUGUUCUCUAACUGAACAAACCAAAAAUUAAGUAUUUGAAGCUUGCAUAGUACUGAUUCCACAAAUUUAAUUUUGCCAGAUAUCAGGGAAGCUAUUCCACUAAAGACAAAAUUAUUUUAUCAUCAAUGGCAGCACAAGAAGAGAAAUUUUCUAGACAGCAAUUUCCAUAAUUUUCCAAAGCAGACUUCAUCGGCCAGCAAAA